UUGAACUCAGGACCUUGCGCUUGUGAGACAGGUGUGGCGCCACUGAGCUAAAUCCCCAGCCUAUUUUUUAUUUUUUGAGACAGGGUCUCACAAUGUAGCCCAGGCUGGCCUUGAACUCACAGUGCUCCUCCUGCCUCAGCCUCCUGAGAGCUGGGAUCACAGGCUGCACCAGCCCACUCAGCUUCAUGUAGCUCCUUGUCGAGUCAGCUACCUGGAUCUGAGCUGUGCGGGCCAGACUGUUCUCUCCCCAGCCAGCCUAGGUCAGAAAGCAAGCACAGCAGGUACUGAGAGGCUGAGGAACUGUGGCUGAGGGACUUGGAGCCCGGAAGCAGAAGCGGGAUGUUUUAAGUGUUUUUAAAUAGUGUUUAGUGCGAUUGCAUAGUUUUUCUACUGGCCUUUUGUGAUGGAAAUGAGAAUCACAAUGCUGCUGUACGUCAGCUUUGUUCUCUGGGGCACCCCUGGGACCCAUGCUGAGGUCAUAGCCAGGUCUGCAGUGGCAGCAGAGAAACCUGUGGCGCCUCGCUCAUGGUGCCCUGUGCAGGUCACAGGCACACAAAGCCAUGGGAGAGAGAAAGGGGUCCGGGACACACAGACGUCCCCCCAAAGCCUCGUGUGGUCGUAGCUUGCUGCUUUCUGCCUGCCAUGGACUGUUUCUCCUCUGUGACGCCCCUCUGCCCUGCCACUCUGCCUUGGAGCCAGCCGACUACAACUGAAACCUCUACAGACUCUGAGCUAAAUAAACCUCUCCUUCUUUAACUUUGGAUGCCGGGUAUUUUGUGUCAACAGCUAGAAAAGUGACUAAACAGGAGUGGUAUCAUCAUUCACAGUUGUGCUGCUGGUCCUUGAGUUUGCCUCUGGCAGAGACUCAAAACUCCCUGGCUGUUGGACCUCCCAGGGCCAAGGCUGGCUCUGGGCCUAAAUAAUGAGCAGUAAGGACACUCACCACCUUGGAGCCAAGAGUUCAGAGCCAGUAUCUGGCUCUUGUUUAUUCCUCUGAUAUAGACCAGCAACAUCCCAGAUAAAACACACUCUAUGACCCUGGGUCUCCACGUGAGCAGAGCUGCAGCUGACCCAUAUAGAAUGCCAUGCGUGGAUGAAGAAAGAAUUCCAAUGUGUUAUGUCCAUGUUCUGUCUCCCCACAAUGAAUGUAAUCAUUUACUGCAAACAUACACUGAUAAAAUAAUAAAAAUUAAUUUUUUAAAAAGGUAA
rnacentral:lncRNA from 1 species